AUAUUGGCCAUUGGGGGCAACCCUGAUCCAGCCAUUCCGCGUGUGUGAAGAAGGUCUUCGGAUUGUAAAGCACUUUAAGCUGGGAGAAAGGGCUUUAGUCUACUACCCUGAAGGUUUCACGCUACCAACAGAAUAAGCACCGUCUAACUCUGUGCGAGCAGCCGCGGUAAUCCAGAGGGUGCAAGCGUUAAUCGGAAUUACUGGGCGUAAAGCGCGCGUAGGUGGUUCAGUAAGAUGGGUGUGAAAUCCCCGGGCUUAACCUGGGAACUGCUUUCAUAACUGCUGAGCUAGAGUACGGUAGAGGGUAGUGGAAUUUCCUGUGUAGCGGUGAAAUGCGUAGAUAUAGGAAGGAACACCAGUGGCGAAGGCGACUACCUGGACUGAUACUGACACUGAGGUGCGAAAGCGUGGGGAGCAAAC
rnacentral:rRNA from 1 species